rnacentral:rRNA from 1 species
CGAAGGCAGCAGUGAGGAAUCUUGCACAAUGGGCGAAAGCCUGAUGCAGCGACGCCGCGUGGAGGAGGAAGUCCUUCGGGAUGUAAACUCCUUUUGGGGGAGACGAACCAAGUGACGGUAUCCCCUGAAUAAGCCCCGGCUAACUACGUGCCAGCAGCCGCGGUAAUACGUAGGGGGCGAGCGUUGUCCGAAGUUACUGGGCGUAAAGCGCGCGUAGGCGGGCUGGUAAGUCGGAAGUGAAAGGCUGGGGCUCAACCUCAUGCAGUGCUUCCGAUACUGUCAGUCUUGAGGGCGGUAGAGAGAGGUGGAAUUACUGGUGUAGCGGUGAAAUGCGUAGAUAUCAGUCGGAACACCGGUGGCGAAGGCGGCCUCUUGGGCCGUUCCUGACGCUGAGGCGCGAAAGCCAGGGGAGCGAACGGGAUUAGAUACCCUUGU